rnacentral:rRNA from 1 species
AUUGAACGCUGGCGGCAGGCCUAACACAUGCAAGUCGAGCGGAUGAAGGGAGCUUUCUCCUGGAUUCAGCGGCGGACGGGUGAGUAAUGCCUAGGAAUCUUCCUGGUAGUGGGGGAUAACGUCCGGGAACGGGCGCUAAUACCGCCUACGUCCUCAGUGGGAAAGUGGGGGAUCUUGGAACCUCACUCUAUCAGAUGAGCCUAGGUCGGCUUAGCUAGUUGGUGGGGUAAAGGCGUACCACGGCGAAGCUCCGUAACGGGUCUGAGAGGAUGAUCAGUCACGCUGGAACGGAGGCCCGGUCCAGACCCCUACGGGAGGCCGCAGUGCGGAGUAAUGGAGCAGUGGCGAAAGCCUGAUCCAGCCAUGCAGCGUGUGUGAAGAAGGUCGUCGGAUUGUAGAGCGCUUUAAGGUGGGAGGAAGGGCAGUAAGUUAAUGCCUUGCUGUUUUGACGUUACCAACAGAAGAAGCACCGGCUAACUUCGUG